rnacentral:rRNA from 1 species
UACGUAGGCAGCGAGCGUUGUUCGGAAUUACUGGGCGUAAAGAGUGUGUAGGCGGUGCUCCCAGUCUGUUGUGAAAUCUCCCGGCUUAACUGGGAGGGUGCAGCGGAAACUAGAGUGCUAGAGGUGGGAGAGGUAGCGAAUUCCGUGGUGUAGCGGUGAAAUGCGUAGAUAUCAGGAGGAACACCUGUGGUGUAGAGCAGCUUACUGGACCACUUCUGACGCUGAGACACGAAAGCGUGGGUAGCAAACAGG